UCAUUUCUCUCCGCUAGAGCACCUGUAGUAAACUCCCAUCGGACACUGCGGGCCGUCAAGUCUUCCUUUUUUUGUCGUCCCUCAAGAUGACCCUGCGGACAUUCGUGGAGAUCGGCCGGGUGGUCUACCUGACCCAUGGCAAAUAUCGGGGACGAC